ensembl:lncRNA
UCGCUAGGGUUUAUAAUAAAAUUAUUCCAAAUGAUAAUUAUCAUGGGACAAUGAGUCACGGGAGCGCUGAGAUCAGAUGGAACACCCCACAAGCAGGUAAAUCUGAACAACAACUAUGCAGGGAAUCAUGGUUCUGAUUUGUUCGGCAGUAGGACUAGUGUCUCUCUUGUUAUUCCCUGUUGCAAGGUAACCCCUGUGUUUUCCCUCUUACAGUCUCAGAAACACUUUGCUUGCUCAGUUGAUGACUUUAACUGUGGCAUGGAUGUUGGUGCCAGACAGGUUGGUUUGAGUAUUUCAGAAACUGCUGUGAAUCUCCUGGGAUUUUCACACACAACAGUCUCUAGAGUUUGCACAGAGAAUGGUGCGAAAAUCAAAAAAAAAAAAAAGAACAAAAAUGAAAUAAAUCCAGUAAGUGUCAUUUCUGUGGGCGGAAAUGCCCUGUUGACGUUCAGGCUCACUGAAACCGGACAGCUGAAGAUUGUAAAGACAGGUGAUGUUUUUUCCCGUCUUCAGAGGUGGGUCUGUGCCUACUGUAGUGUCAGAUUCUCGAUGCUGGCUGACAGGAAUGAAACCUUCUGUUGUCGUAGCCCAUCUGUUUUAAAGUUUGGUGUUACCUAUUUAACUUCCAACCAGCAUUGUCUGUAGGACACAUCGAGAAAAUGACGUGCCCAUCAAUAAUCGAUAUAUCGAUGUUUCAUGACAUCCCUAGUCCUAAAACAUCAGAUAAUUUGCAAUAUAUUCCAUUACUCAUAGCGAGAAAGCACUGAAACAGUGGGUAUGCCUGAUUUUGCGUCUAUGUGUGAGCUACCUUUACGAUAAGAGAGAAGUGUUAUCAAUGCCAUUUUGAAUUCCAGAAUGAAGAUUAAAAAGAUCGCGUGGGUAAAACCUCCAGCUCCAUCCAUCUCGCCACUGAACCAAACAGCUCAGGGCAGUUUACAGUUUUCGCUGUCCAAAUCUCAUGUGCAUCAGAUUUACAGUGAGGAAAUUUCAACAAUCGACAUGAUAAUAGAGAUCACAGCCAGACAGCAGCUUCAAGAACAUUCCUCAGUCAUUUAUUCCCAAUGUCACACGCCUUACGUGGGUCCUUUAAUGGAAGUCUGGGCGCCCUGCCUGACGCCCGACUCGCGCAACACUGCUAACAAUCCUUGUAACGAUCCUGAUUUCCUGCCUGACGACGGUGAUGUUGAAGAAACUCUUCUUUGCUUGAGCACGCCCACAGGUGUUGAAGGUGGUUUUGUGUCUUUGGAUGACCUGGAGCCCAGCCUUGAGAUCCGCAAGGACUCGGAAACGUUCACUAAUACACUGAACCCUGCGUGUUUCUCUCAGAAUUAUUGCACUUUAACCAACACAGCUGUUGGACUUAUUCCUACAUUUUGCACAGUGCAGUGUGUUCCUAAUCUCGGUUUAGAGCUAAACGGUCAUACUUCACCUGAUCUGUUCAAUAUGCAGAUAGAGGAGAGUACACCAGAAUUGGACACAGUGACUCUUGACAAUUUGCAGCUGUCUGUGGAUGAAUGACUAUAUACUGUACAUGCAAUAUGACCUGAAUGAAAUGCAACUUUCUGUAAAUACUGCAUUCUCUUAUUCUUCUUCAGUUUAUGGCAUAUUCUUAAGAGUUUCAGCGGAUCACAGCCUUGUGCCAUCUGUUGUGCCAUGGUUCUGUGUUUGUCUUUCAGUACGUUCGACUUUAUACAAGGGAAUGUGCUGCCCUCUGCUGCCUGACCAUAUUUUUGUGGCAGGAUCCCUCAGUUUUCAGCACAGAUUUAAUUCAUGGAUGCCAUCCGACUAAGGUAUUACGCAAACGUGUACUUAUCUAGAACCCUUAGGACUUCUAUGGUUCAUACAGUUGUGCCCAAAAGUUUGCGUACCCCUUGCAGAAUCUGCUCAAUCUUAACACUGCUAACAAAAUAAGAGGAUCAUAAAAAUCCCAUAUUGUUUUUUAUUUAGUUCUGUCCUGAAUAAGCUAUUUCACAUGUUUACAUCUAAUGCACAAGACAAGAUUACAGCUGAAUUUACACAAAUGAACUAGUUGAAAAGUUUACACAACGCUUGAAUCUUAAUACAGUGUGGUUGUUACUUUGGAUGGCACAACUGUAUCUCAAAGCAAACCCCUAAUUACUAUAUGUAGAUCCCUACAAAGUGUUUGCCUAUAAGAGAACCUUCUGAAUAGACCUUCUGGAAGCUUAACCAUCCAAAGAACCUUAGAGGACCAUUUUUUAUUUCUUUAUUGAUGCCAUAAGAGUCAAAGACCAUGUCACAAUGUAGAGCCAAAAAAAAUUAUAUAAAAAAGGUGUACUAUAAUACUUCUCAGUCCCCUGUGUGUCUCUUCAUCACGCUGUGAGUACCGCGCGUCGAAGGUAGAAGUGAGACUGUUGCAUGUACAUAUUUUUCUCAGCUUUUCCUAGGCCUGACUGACCUGCGUGGUCAUUUCUGUGUAACUGUGGCUCUAGAGCAGAACGCACAGACCUGCAGACACUUGAUGAAGAAAAAUAUAUUAUUUUAGGUUCCACAGAUAUUACUGCAUUAUCAUGUGGAAAUAAAAAUGGCUGAGUAGCACAUAGUAACGUAACAUAUAGUAAUGUGUUACUAUGAAAAAAUAAUAAAAAAUAUCACUUCAUAUUUUUGGGGGGCAUUUUCC